rnacentral:lncRNA from 1 species
GCGAUGGCCCCAACGGAACACCGUACAUAUGGAAGUAAUUGGAAUAAAUUCGGAAGUUUACAUGACUGCUGUCAAAAGGCCUCCCUCGUGUUUACAUAUUUUGACAGGUCGAGUUGUUCUUGGACUAGGAACAAUGAUGAAUGAAUAUCUGCACCAUGGAACCAGUGUCAUUUGCAAACUGUUUGAACCUGUGCUGGGCGUGCACAUUGACAUUUCUUAUUCAACAGGAAUACAUGAUGUCGACCAACAGUACAGCUAGAUGAAGAAAUAAAUUUAUCCGAAGAAAUAAUGGGACAAUGUCAAUGCUAAAAUUGCCAAAAGAAGACUGCCAUAUUUACACACCAUUUUAUACAGUUACAGUAUGAUAUGGAGAACAAAAAGCCCUCAAUGCAGCCAGUUCUGGAGCUUUGGCUAGACUAUGAACAGUAGACAUCAAAAAGGUACAGGAUAGUUUAGAGCUGCAUUUAUUAAAUUCUUUUAUGUAAUUACUAUUUAUCAGUUCAAAUGAAACUUGGUAC